rnacentral:rRNA from 1 species
UCCAGACUCCUACGGGAGGCAGCAGUGGGGAAUAUUGCACAAUGGGCGCAAGCCUGAUGCAGCCAUGCCGCGUGUGUGAAGAAGGCCUUCGGGUUGUAAAGCACUUUCAGUAGGGAGGAAGGUGGUAGUGUUAAUAGCGCUAUCAUUUGACGUUACCUACAGAAGAAGCACCGGCUAACUCCGUGCCAGCAGCCGCGGUAAUACGGAGGGUGCGAGCGUUAAUCGGAAUUACUGGGCGUAAAGCGCAUGCAGGUGGUUUGUUAAGUCAGAUGUGAAAGCCCCGGGCUCAACCUGGGAAUUGCAUUUGAAACUGGCAAACUAGAGUACUGUAGAGGGGGGUAGAAUUUCAGGUGUAGCGGUGAAAUGCGUAGAGAUCUGAAGGAAUACCGGUGGCGAAGGCGGCCCCCUGGACAGAUACUGACACUCAGAUGCGAAAGCGUGGGGAGCAAACAGGAUUAGAUACCCUGGUAGUCCACGCCGUAAACGAUGUCUACUUGGAGGUUGUGGCCUUGAGCCGUGGCUUUCGGAGCUAACGCGUUAAGUAGACCGCCUGGGGAGUACGGUCGCAAGAUUAAAACUCAAAUGAAUUGACGGGGGCCCGCACAAGCGGUGGAGCAUGUGGUUUAAUUCGAUGCAACGCGAAGAACCUUACCUACUCUUGACAUCCAGAGAAGCCAGCGGAGACGCAGGUGUGCCUUCGGGAGCUCUGAGACAG